AUUGAACGCUGGCGUCCUGCCUAACACAUGCAAGUCGAACGCGUGUCGUACGGGUGAGUAAUGUCUUGUAAACUGCCUUAUGGAGGGGGUUAACUACUGGAAACGGUAGCUAAUACCGCAUACCAUCGGAUGUGCCCAGAUGGGAUUAUCUAGUAGGUGGGGUAACGGCUCACCUCGGCGACGAUCCCUAGCUGGUCUGAGAGGAUGACCAGCCACACUGGAACUGAGACACGGUCCAGACUCCUACGGGAGGUAGCAGUGGGGAAUAUUGAACAAUGGGCGAAAGCCUGAGACAGCCAUGCCGAGUGUAUGAAGAAGGCCUUCGGGUUGUAAAGUACUUUCAGCGGGGAGGCGUUACCCGCAGAAGAAGCACCGGCUAACUCCGUGCCAGCAGCCGCGGUAAUAC
rnacentral:rRNA from 1 species